AUGCCGGGAGUGGCAGUGGCCCCCCGCGCCGCAGCCGGCAUCGCGGCGGGACCCGGAGCCCGGAGUUCGGGUGGGUAACCCGAGCUCUCCAAGCUCUUGAAGCCGCGAGGGUGGCUUAGCUUCGGUGUUUUGGCUGAGAACACCCUUAAAGCUUAAAAUAAAACCUGCCUCUGGGGUGCAGGGGAGGAGAGAGGAGGACGCGAAUCACACCCGCUGCUGCGCGCCAGCCCGCCCCGUCUGUACAAUGGGAUGCUCGGGACUCGGACGGGAGGAUCCAGUGACUGCGAGCCCCGCAUUCGCCCGAUCCCAGCCUCACACCCCCAGCCAGCCCCCAGAGACCCUCCCACACUUACGAAGGAAAUGCAUGCGGCCAGGAGGAGAAUCCGCACCAGGAGGUCUUCAAACUGCUCUAUCACCAGCUCCCACAGGGUCUUCCCUGGGGGAGGAGGCAAGGGGAGGGCCCCGGGUUAAGGUCUAGUGGGUGAAGGUCUGGGAUGGAGCGCCCUGGACUCCGGCCUGCAGUGGGGAGGCUCUAGGGUGGUGGGCAGACAGCUUGGUGCCCAGAGAAGGGCUAAGAAGCUCGCCUGGAGUCCAGAAACAGACUCGGCAAAGUGGGGGGCAGUUCAAGGGUUGGCUGCUUCAAGGAGAAAGCGCCUGGGAGACUUCUGCCCCGGACAGGACUCUAACCUUUAGGGAGGGAGAUUUGCCUUUUGGGAAGGGAUAUUUGCUCAAAGAAUCUAAAGAGGCAGGGAGGAGGGAGUGGGACAGGGCGGGGUGGGGGGUGGUCAUUUAUGAGAGUUCAGGGAUUCCAGUAACUUACCUUCCUCAGCAGGGAGCUCUACCCAGGAAAAAGAAGAAAAGGACAGAUUCAUUUGGGGUUCAGCCUCAUGCCCCCCACACCCAAGACUUUGUGGCUAAGAGAAUCAGGCCACCUUGAGGUUCAUCAAGUUCAUCCCAUUAAAACCUCCCAAAACUCUGGAUCUCGGGACUCUGUUUUCUCAGUAUCUUCUUCCCCCUGCGAGCAUUGGACAACGGCCCAGCUCUUCCUUAAGAAACCCUGAAGGGAGAAACGCGUGCAUGCGUGUGCGUGUGUUUUGGGGGUGCAGGAGGGCAUUAAUUACCAGCCGCUCUUCCAAGGGACACUUACCAUUGAGGCCGUAUUUCUCCAGAUUCCGCUUAACUUGGUCCGGGGUGAGGCCCGUGGUCUCACUCACCCCAAAAUAGGCCAAACAUUCCUCCGUGGUUUUAGCAUGAGCGGCCUCCAUUGUGCUCCCUUCCUGGGGGCCGGGGCCGGUGUGUUCCUUCCAGGGGGUUCCCACUCGUGGGGGGUCUUCCUCAGUGUGUCCAACUGCCUGUCUGCCUGGGUUUCUUCUUUUUACUCUCCUGCCCCCUCCAGGUUUUUCUUCCCUCCACAAAGCUCUGACCCCCGUCCCACUUGAGCAGCCGGCCACCCCCCGGCCCCCAGCUGGUCCUUAUGAGGGAGCAGGGGGAGGCCGGGCUCCCCCCUCCACCAGAUCAGGGAUUGGCUGGCUGAGACUCCAGCAGGAGGUGGUCAGAAAAGAGAGAUAUUUCUGCUGACAGAGGGGGAACAGUGGGGCUGCAGCCUGAGAUGUCACUCAUGAGGGACGCAAAGGUAGCCCCAGCCCCAGGGAAGUGGGGUAGGGAGAGACUUCACUUUCUGUCAUCUGCUACUGACCCUGCCCCCCCAUUGCCUCGACUUCCCCAGCUGCAUUGAAUUUCCCAUUCCAAACUCAUCCCCCCAGUUCUUCCCGGAGCCCUCUUCCAUCCCCGGCCUCACCUGUCCCUUUCCUCACACCCCCCUUCCUGCCUCAUCUGCCCGGAGCCUGUUUCCAUUGCCGCAGUCUCCUUCCUCCUCACCCCAUUUGCUGAAGCAGUGGCAGAGAUACCCCAAGCCUUUGGGGGACUGAUGAAGGGAGAACAUCUUUUGGGGGCUAGAGGAAGUGAGUGGCUCCUAGAGGGACAAGGGGAAGUGAGGGGA
rnacentral:lncRNA from 1 species